rnacentral:rRNA from 1 species
UACGAAGGGGGGCUAGCGUUGCUCGGAAUCACUGGGCGUAAAGCGCACGUAGGCGGCUUGUUAAGUCAGGGGUGAAAUCCCGGGGCUCAACCUCGGAACUGCCUUUGAUACUGCAAGUCUCGAGUCCGAUAGAGGUGAGUGGAAUUCCUAGUGUAGAGGUGAAAUUCGUAGAUAUUAGGAAGAACACCAGUGGCGAAGGCGGCUCACUGGAUCGGUACUGACGCUGAGGUGCGAAAGCGUGGGGAGCAAACAGGG